AAGAGGGGGUGGAUAUCAUCAUUUUUGGCCACAAGCCAUCCUUGGAGCUUUCAAAGUCGCCUGUAAAUAUUACUGCCAGCUCUGUUUCAGUAGCAGAGACAGCAGUCCUGGCCAAUAGCUUUUCUCCUUGGUGGCCCAAUUCAGUAUUUCUGAAUUCUGGAGAGAAGAGGGGGAAGCCAGUGUUUUAUUCAACAUAGCAAUUUCAGGAACAGGGAGGUGAAAUUACAAGCUGGAGUCCCUGGGCAGCAGUGAAAAUAAGAAAAUCCAAACGAGCAAAGGAAAAAAAAUGGAAAAAACUGCAUUUCUCAGAGCAAGAGGAAGGAUGUUGGUGAGUGGGUAACAGAGGUUAGGAAGAGGAAGCACGGAGGGAGAAUCUGUUGUGUUUGGAAGAUGUGGGAACCAUCAACACAGAUGUUGCAGAAGAAAGCAAUUGAGAAGCUGAAUGGGGCUUGCAUGGGUUUACAGUUGGGUGCAUGCUUAAGUGUGUUGCUAAAUGGAGACCUGAAUGAGUGAGAACAAGAAAUAAUCAUGUGGGAGUCCCCGUGCAGAAUCAGUCUCUGUCCAGAUUGACAUCACAGGCUUUCCCACUGAUAUAAACCAUUGCUUUUCCUGGGUAGAAAAUGAGUCAGGGUGACUCUGGAGCUUAGGGUUUGGCCUGUGCAGAUUAAGAGGAGUAGUAAGGAAUAAAUAAAAUAUGGAAUAUGCAAGGGUGACUAAGGACUCGAAGAGAAACAACUGUGGGGGAAGGAAAAGGGCCAUGGUGAGGAACAAGGAGGGGCUGCCAGAUUAAUUGCUUUCUAGGGCUACCUGGAGAGAGAUUUAGGGGGGUAAGCAUCAUGAAGUACCUAUUACGUGGGUAAGACAUUUACAUGCCUAUAUUAGCUGAGUAAUGCUCCUCUUUUUUUUUUUUUUUUUUUUUUUUUUUUUUUUUUUGUUUUGUUUUGUUUUGUUUUGUUUUUGGUCUUUUCAGCCUGGAAAUAGUCUGAAGCAAAGUUUGUUUCUCACUGAAAAUAUUUUCAGCACCUAUGAAAUUAGAGGCCCAAUAACAAUUGCAGCCUCCAUGUACUCUGCUACUGACAGAUUGAAAGAAAGAGAGCAGAGAAUAGGUGGGGAAAUAAGAUGGACAUCUGGACUGAGCAAGAACAAAGGAAAGGGUGGAGGAUGGAAAGAAGGUGGAAACAUCCCUGUGGAAACAUAAUGGCCUGUCCAGUGUGAGCCUACUCCUCUUGCUGAGUCCAGACAUGCAUUGACCAGAGGAAGAGCUUUGAGGGGCUGAGGGUCUCACUGCCAGUGAGGGAAUCUCUCUCAGGUGGCCACCCAGGACAAGGUUGGAAGGUGAGAGAAUGCUGAAGGAUUGAUGCUUGAAUGCCGAUGCCUGUGCCCUGCGGGAGUUUGCAGGCCUGGAGGUGUCCUACACAGAUCGAAUGGCUGCCAGUGCAUGUCAGGAAGUGAUUGCUGCUCCAGGACAUAUGUGAUUCCUUAGGCUCUGAGUCCCCCCUGUAGCCAACUGCAGUGAGCUGUAAUUCAAGGACCGUGACCUUUUCCUGCUCUACCUGCAGGGUAGCAUGUUUGGGGGGCACUCUAAACUGGCACUGCUGGUUGCUGGGGAUGUUUUUAGCAUCCAGAAAUACUGGAGAUAUGCUUGGUUUGAGUGAGGGCAGCUCUCAAAUAGCUUCCUGCUGUUGAUAGUUGGACUGGUGGGUACCAGCGCUUGUUGAAGCAAAAAGGACACCAAAGCCAGCACAGGACAGCAGAGGCAUCACAAUGACCCUGAGGAGGUGGAGGGUCUUUGCAGUGACACCACAUACAGCCCAGGGAUUUCUCCUGAUCUUAUGAUGGACAUGCUGUUAUGAUGGACAGUGCUCCCUGCUUGCCCCUUGCUCCCAGAGCCCCCUGGCCUGUUACCUGCAGCAGCUCACUCACACAGAGCAGAGCUGCCAUUCCUG
rnacentral:lncRNA from 12 species